rnacentral:lncRNA from 10 species
AAAGAAGAUAUCUAACUGAGCUUAAGCUCAUUUAAAGUAACCAAGCACCUUUUACCUCCUCAUCCAUCUUGGACUUCAGUUCCCCACCCCCAGCUAUGUUCAUUCUAACUACUAUGAGAUAAUAUUAUUUGAUGGAGAAGGUGGAGGCAAAAUGGAUUUGUGUAGCUUUAUGGUCCCUUCUCCUGUUAAUGAUCUUCCUCAUUUGUAUUCUUCUCCUUGCUUUUCUCUAUAUUUUUUCAAGCAUUGGUCCAUUCAGAACUUUGGCAUCCUCCAGCACUUUCUAAUGUUUUGUGCCAUUUUUAUAUUUGCCUUGCAUUAUGAUUUUCCUCCAUCUUCUUCUACCAUAUUUCUUUGCUUGAAACCACACCUUCACAUACCAUAAAGGGAAGAGAUUUUUUUUCAGUUGUGUUCCUGCCUCUUCAAAUUCCUCUGUGGUCAUAAAAAAGCCUGUCUUGCCAAAAUGUCACGUAGCUAUAACCUUGCGCCAAAUAGUACAUCUUGUUUCCAAAAGCUGUUUUUUUGGCAGCUGGUAGGAACAUGGAUUAUUCAUAUCUGCAGAAAUCACAAUCCCUGUGGAGGAUUUGAUUCUUCUCCCCCAGGUUGUGGCUGUGAUUGGAAAUAAGGUGUUUCAUUUGGACUUCUACAGGAAGAAGACACCUGGAGGCAGACACAGAAGGAAGAGCGAGCAAAAGAGCUUCCAGUUUGGGACUGGGCACAAAAUAAAAAUGACUUCUUGCCUGCUGGGAAGCUGGGUACAACCAUG